rnacentral:tRNA from 6 species
GCCGGCGUGGCGGAAUGGCAGACGCGCUCGACUCAAAAUCGAGUUCUAACGAGUGGAGGUUCGAGUCCUCUCGCCGGUA